UCCAUCAUCAUUGACCUUCUCUUUCCUCAUCGAUUUCUCCAUCAUCAUUGAUCUCUUCUUCAUCAUCGUCAGUCGUUCUCUAAGGUUGAACUUCUCUUCCCUUCCCAUACUUUUCAGCUUUUUAGGAUUUUACUUAGGAAUGGCUUUGCGUGGGAGAGAGUCUGGAGAUGAGAACGUGGUGGGAGACCAAAUUUCUUAAACUUUGACUGUCUAGAGAGAGACUGAGUAUAUUCCUCGGGAUGCUCCCGAGGAUGUUUCUUCUUCUCGAUAGGACC
rnacentral:lncRNA from 1 species